rnacentral:rRNA from 1 species
GGCCACACUGGGACUGAGACACGGCCCAGACUCCUACGGGAGGCAGCAGUAGGGAAUCUUCCGCAAUGGACGAAAGUCUGACGGAGCAACGCCGCGUGAGUGAUGAAGGUUUUCGGAUCGUAAAACUCUGUUGUCAGGGAAGAACAAGUGCCGGAGUAACUGCGGCCCUUGACGGUACCUGACCAGAAAGCCACGGCUAACUACGUGCCAGCAGCCGCGGUAAUACGUAGGUGGCAAGCGUUGUCCGGAAUUAUUGGGCGUAAAGCGCGCGCAGGCGGUUUCUUAA